rnacentral:rRNA from 1 species
AUGGAUCAGGAGCUGAUCGAGCACCUUGAGGCCAAAGUGAGUGCUGACAACGCGAGAUUUCAGUCUCUCAUCGAUUUGUUCAUACCAACCAUCGACAGCGAGCACGGCAUAUGCUACACCCAACCUAAGAAACUUCCAGGUAUCACACUGAGUGGCCUAAGGAAGCAUUUCUUCCAGCGCAAUUCCAGGGCGUUCAAAAGGGGCACGAGGAUGCGUCCCAAGAUACAGUUGAAGUGCGGACUGCACGCGAUGUGGCACAAGACCGUCAAUACCUUGCCGGUGAUGGUCAACAGCCGGCAGACGGGCAGCAAAAAAGGUUCUGGUGUUGCACACCAACAAGAACUUCGACGAGCAGAGGACCAAUUGGGUGAUGCACCAGUACCACCUCGGGGACCUGGAGCAAGAGAAGGAGCGGGAGCUGGUCCUCUGCAAGAUUUUCUACCAGACGAACACUAG